rnacentral:rRNA from 1 species
UACGAAGGGGGCUAGCGUUGCUCGGAAUCACUGGGCGUAAAGCGCACGUAGGCGGCUUUUUAAGUCAGGGGUGAAAUCCUGGAGCUCAACUCCAGAACUGCCUUUGAUACUGAGAAGCUUGAGUCCGGGAGAGGUGAGUGGAACUGCGAGUGUAGAGGUGAAAUUCGUAGAUAUUCGCAAGAACACCAGUGGCGAAGGCGGCUCACUGGCCCGGUACUGACGCUGAGGUGCGAAAGCGUGGGGAGCAAACGGG